GUGGGGAAUUUUGGACAAUGGGCGCAAGCCUGAUCCAGCAAUGCCGCGUGCAGGAAGAAGGCCUUCGGGUUGUAAACUGCUUUUGUCAGGGAAGAAAUCUUCUGGGCUAAUACCCCGGGAGGAUGACGGUACCUGAAGAAUAAGCACCGGCUAACUACGUGCCAGCAGCCGCGGUAAUACGUAGGGUGCGAGCGUUAAUCGGAAUUACUGGGCGUAAAGCGUGCGCAGGCGGCUUUGCAAGACAGAUGUGAAAUCCCCGGGCUCAACCUGGGAACUACAUUUGUGACUGCAAGGCUAGAGUACGGCAGAGGGGGAUGGAAUUCCGCGUGUAGCAGUGAAAUGCGUAGAUAUGCGGAGGAACACCAAUGGCGAAGGCAAUCCCCUGGGCCUGUACUGACGCUCAUGCACGAAAGCGUGGGGAGCAAACAGGAUUAGAAACCCGUGUAGUCC
rnacentral:rRNA from 1 species